AUGACUCCCGUCCCGGGGCUCCGGGCGAAGGCAGGCGGCGGGCCGAGCGCGCGGGGCGCCGGGGCGGGGAGGCCGGGGCGGGGGCGGGAGGAGGGGGGACCCGCGGGGCGGGGGCGGCGACUGCGCCUGGCGCCGGGGCUCUGGCCGCCUGACAAAACCAUCCCGGCAGCCAGGCGGCGGCGAGUCCCGGCCGCUCCAUCCGGGGCUUCGCGAGAGGGGGAGGGGACGGAAGCCGAGAGGGCGGGCGCAAGGGGAGGGGGCGCUCCGCGUUCCGGUCCCAGUCGCCGGUCCCUGCUGCCCGCCGCGGCCAAGGGCGUCCGGAGCGGGCGGCGGCCGGUGAGCGGUCCCGCGCCGGAGCCCCUCCAGGUGGGCCCGUCAGGUGCGUACUCGGCCGUCGCCUCCUGCUGUGGUCGUCGUCGCCGCCUCGGCGGCCAGGCCGCGAGCUGCGGAAGUGGGCUUGGGGGAGGGGAGGGAGCAGGGAGGGGGAGGGGAGGGAUCCGGUCGGACCGGAGCAGGCCCGGCCUCUCUGGCGCGUCUCCCAGCUGCAGCGGCUCCUACAGCUGCUGCCGCUACUGCUCCGGCUCCGCCUCCCGCUCGCGGGCGGGGGCGCGCACGCGCGCUUCCGGCCUCGGGUCUCGCGCUGUCUGCGGCUCUCGCGCGCGCUGCUCCCCUCCCCCCCGCCCCUGGCGCCGGGGCCGUGGCGCCGGCCGGCCGGGGCGGCGCGGCGCGCGGCGUAGGCGUCGGCAUUGUGUUCGGCGCCGCGGGGACUUGGGGACGCACGCACGCGCGCGCGCACGCGGGGCCGACGGGAGGGGUGGUGAGCGAGCGGCGCGACCCGAGUGCGUUGCGUCGCUCCCCCUCCCCUCGGCCUCUGGUGGGGCGGGGCCGGAGCGAGGUCCCGUCCCUCCCCUUCCCUCCCACAGGGGGCGGGGUCAAAGUCUCCUGGGCGGGGCCACGCCGCGUUGGGUAGCAGACUGGGCGGCCGCGCCCUCCUGUGCCUGCGCGGCGGCGUUGGAAGCGUCUGAGCGGGUCCGCUGUCGGGUUAGGCAUGAUACCCACUGGAGCAAGACGGUUCGUUUCGCAGGCUGGAAUGCAUGCGCAAUUAAAAGCUGCGUAGGACGCGGGCUUUUGUUGUGUUUAACUGGUGGUGGAUUUUAA
rnacentral:lncRNA from 1 species